AUUGAACGCUGGCGGCAGGCCUAACACAUGCAAGUCGAGCGAGCGGCGGACGGGUGAGUAAUGUCUGGGAAACUGCCUGAUGGGGGGGGAUAACUACUGGAAAAGGGAGAGAAUACCGCAUACCAUCAGAGGUGCCCAGAGGGGGUUAGCUAGUAGGUGGGGUAACGGCUCACCUAGGCGACGAUCCCUAGCUGGUCUGAGAGGAUGACCAGCCACCCUGUAACUGAGACACGUGCCAGACUCCGACGGGAGGCAGCAGUGGGGAAUAUUGCACAAUGGGCUCAAGCCUGAUGCAGCCAUGCCGCGUGUAUGAAGAAGGCCUUCGGGUUGUAAAGCACUUUCAGCGGGGAGGCGUUACCCGCAGAAGAAGCACCGGCUAACUCCGUGCCAGCCGCCGCGGUAAUAC
rnacentral:rRNA from 1 species